rnacentral:tRNA from 1 species
GCUUUUAACGGAAAAAAGCCCUUCCACUGGUCUUAGGCGCCAGCACUCUUGGUGCAAAUCCAAGUAAAAGCU